AUCCAAUGAACUAAAGCGGACGGUGGAGACCUAGGCACUCAGGGCCGAAGAAGGGCGUAGUAACCGACGAAACGCUCCGGGGAGCUGGAAACGAGCUUUGAUCCGGAGAUUCCCGAAUAGGGCAACCUUAUAGACUUCUUUUUUCAAUUCAUAUAAAAGAAGAGGGAACCCGGUGAACUGAAACAUCUCAAUAGCCGGAGGAAAAGAAAGCAAACGCGAUUCCCUUAGUAGCGGCGAGCGAAACGGGAACAGCCUAAACCAAUUAUUUGGUACUCAAUAGAGUCCUAAAAUUGGUGUCGUGGGAGGACGAACACGGCGAGUGUUGAACACACGUACAAUUGACACAUACAAUUGAAGAUGAGACGAAGCAGCUGAAUCCUGCACCAUAGAUGGUGAAAGUCCAGUAGCCUUAUUCAUACAAUGUAUCAAUGAUCAAUGUCUAAUCCCGAGUAGCAUGGGACACGUGGAAUCCCGUGUGAAUCAGCGAGGACCACCUCGUAAGGCUAAAUACUCUUGAGUGACCGAUAGCGAAAAGUACCGUGAGGGAAUGGGUAAAAGAACCCCUGCAGGGGAGUGAAAAAGAACAUGAAACCGUCCGCUGACAAGCAGUGGGAGGAAAAUAAUUUCUGACCGCGUGCCUGUUGAAGAAUGAGCCGGCGACUUAUAGGAAGUGGCGUGGUUAAGGAAUGACAUCCGGAGCCAGAGCGAAAGCAAGUCUGAAUAGGGCAUUUGUCACUUCUUAUGGACCCGAACCCAGGUGAUCUAACCGUGACCAGGAUGAAGCUUGGGUAAAACCAAGUGGAAGGCCGGACCGACCGAUGUUGAAAAAUCGGCGGAUGAGUUGCGGUUAGUAGGAGAAAUUCCAAUCGAACUUGGAGCUAGCUGGAUCUCCCCGAAAUGUGUUGAGGCACAGCGGUAACGAUGGGCUACCUUUGGGUAAAGCGACUGUUUUGGUGCGGGCUGCGAAAGCGGUACCAAGUCAUGGCAAACUCAGAAUCAAAGGUAAAGCUUUCCGUGAACCAGUGAGAAUGUCGGAGAUAAGUUUGACAUUCAAGAGGGAAACAGCCCAGAUCACCAGCUAAGGCCCCUGAAUGGCCGCUAAGUGGAAAAGGAUGUGGGGAUGCUCAAACAACCAGGAGGUUUGCUUAGAAGCAGCAACCCUUGAAAGAGUGCGUAACAGCUCACUGGUACAAGCGUUCUUGCGCCGAUAAUGACCGGGACUAAGCGGCCUGCCGAAGCUGUGAGAUAGAAUCAAUCUAUCGGUAGGGGAGCGUUCCGUUAUCGGGUGAAGCCAUGACGAAAGUCAUUGUGGACGAAACGGAAGUGAGAAUGUCGGCUUGAGUAACGAAAACAUUGGUGAGAAUCCAAUGCCCCGAAAACCUAAGGGUUCCUUCACUAGGCUCGUCCAUGAAGGGUUAGUCAGGUCCUAAGAUUAGGCCGAAAGGCGUCGUCGAUGGAAAUCAGGUUAAUAUUCCUGAACUGAUUGAAGUUUAAGGAUCCCGAGGGACGAAGAAGGCUAAGCUGGAACUGUUUAUGGAUUGCAGUGGAAACGUCCAAGGUUAUGAGAAAGAGAAUGAAAACUCUUUUGAGCUGAGGCGCGAUCCCGUUAGGAAUCGAAUCUUUGAUUGGAUUCCUCGCCAGCGAUGUCACACUUCCAAGAAAAGCUCGUUCGAUUCAUACUUCAACACCUGUACCAGAAACCGACACAGGUAGGUGGGUAGAGAAUACCUAGGGGCGCGAGAGAACUCUCUCUAAGGAACUCGGCAAACUGGCCCCGUAACUUCGGAAGAAGGGGUGCCCCUGCGAAGGGGUCGCAGUGACCAGGCUCUGGCGGCUGUUUACCAAAAACACAGGUAUCCGCAAAGUCGUAAGACAAUAUAUGGGUGCCGACACCUGCCCAGUGCCGGAAGGUGAAGGAAGUUGGUUAGGGGUUUCCUGAAGCUAACGACCGAAGCCCCGGUGAACGGCGGUUGUAACUAUGACAAUCCUAAGGUAGCGAAAUUCCUUGCCAGGUAAGUUCUGGCCUGCACGAAAGGUGUAACGAUCUGAGCGCUGUCUCGGAGAGAGACUCGGUGAAAUAGACUUGUCCGUGAAGAUGCGGACUACCUACACCAGGACAGAAAGACCCUAUGAAGCUUGACUGUAUCCUGGAAUGGGGUUCGGGCUCUUCUUGCGCAGCCUAGGUGGGAGGCGAUGAGGACUUCCUUUCGGGGAAGUCGUAGCCAUCAUUGAGAGACCACUCUGGGAGAGCUAGAAUCCUAAUGGCGAUCCUUGAACCAGGACGCUUGAAAGUUUCAGGUGGGCAGUUUUUCUGGGGCGGAAAUCUCCCAAAAGGUAACGGAGAUGUGCAAAGGUUCCCUCAGUCUGGACGGAAAUCAGACAAUGAGUGCAAAGGCAUAAGGGAGCUUGACUGCAAGACCUACAAGUCGAGCAGGCUGGAAACAGGGCCUUAGUGAUCCGACGGUUCCGUGUGGAAGGGCCGUCGCUCAACGGAUAAAAGUUACUCUAGGGAUAACAGGCUGAUCUUCCCCAAGAGUUCACAUCGACGGGAAGGUUUGGCACCUCGAUGUCGGCUCAUCGCAGCUCAGGGCGGUAGUACGUCCUAAGAGUAAGACUGUUCGUCUUUUAAAGCGGUACGUGAGCUGGGUUCAGAACGUCGUAAGACAGUUCGGUCCAUAUCCGGUGUAGGCGCUAGAGUAUUGAGAGGAUCCUUCUAUAGUACGAGAGGACCUAUGAAGGACGCACCUAUGGUAUACCAGUUCUUGGUCCCCCGGGAAACGCUGGGUAGCUACGUGCGGAGUGGAUAACUGCUGAUAGCGUCUAAGUAGGAAGCCCACCUCAAGAUGAGUACUCUUCUGAGUAGAUAGUUUAUCGAAAGGUAUGAGGUCACGGCUAGACAAGCCGAUAAUAGGUGUUAGGUGGAAGACCAGCAAUGGUUUCAGCCGAGACAUACUAACGACCCAAUCAUUUGGAU
rnacentral:rRNA from 1 species